rnacentral:lncRNA from 1 species
ACGGCCCGGAGCGGACACAGGUGACCGCCACGGGAAUGCGCCCCGCGGAACCGGGAAGGGCCCGUGCGGUGAGAGGGACUGCCCCACGGGGACAGGGAUGGGAUCCGGGGAGUGGGAACCUGCCCCAGGGAACGGGGACAGGGACCCGGGAGAUGGGGACUGGGACGGGCCCAUGGGGACAGGGACAGGACCCAGGGAAUGGGGACCAACCCCAGGGAACGGAACAGGGACCCGGGAGAUGGGAACAGGGACGGGCAGAUGGGGACAGGGACGGGUUACAGGGAAUGGGGACAGGGACAGGACCCGGGGAAUGGGGACCAACCCCAGGGAACGGAACAGGGACCCGGGAGAUGGGGACAGGGACUGGCCCAUGGGGACAGGGACGAGACACAGGGAAUGGGGACCAGCACCAGGGAAUGGGGACGGGGAUGGGACCCGGGGAACAGGGGCAGACUGACAGUGACAGGGGCAAGCUCUGGGGAACGGGAAUGGGAAUAGAGAUGAGUUCAUGGUGACAGGGAUGGGGAAGGGGAAUGGAGAUGAGCCCAAGGGAAUGGGAAUAGAGAUGAGUUCAUGGUGACAGGGAUGGGACCCGGGAAUGGGGAUGGGAAUGAACCCACGGUGACUGAGGGGAAACACCUGAGCCUCACUGGGAUGUCGGGGAAUGUCCCUCAUGACACAGCUCCGUCUGUAGGAGCUCUGGACCCUGCUGGGCUCUCCUGGAGCACCGGUGGGGCUUGGGGGGGGAUGAGGUUGGGAUCCCUGUGGUGGAGCCUCCCGUGCUUCCAGGUGCCAGCGGUGGGCGAGGGUGAGGCGGCCGUUCUGCCCGAGCAGGAAUGGGGGAACACGGACAACCAGGAGCUCCACGGGAUUGCUGUGAAGGGGAAUUAUGAGGCCACGGUCCCUCUCGGGGAGGAUCAGUCAGAUCAUGUCAGAGGCAUCAUCAUCCCUGGGCUGAUCCAGCUCCCGAGCCCUCCCCAUGUGGAAUGUGGGGGGAUUCCAGGGCCUGGAGAUGCCGAUUCCAAAUCCACGCUGCUGCCACCGGAUGAGGACAGGGAGGAUCCCGGGAUCCCUGAGCUGCCAGAGAAGGGAGCGGUGAUGGGACAGCUUGGUGACGGUGAGAUGAUCGUGAUCAAGAAGGAAGAGCAGCAGCCGCCGGAGGACGGGGCCGAGCUCCUGGCUCUGCCCACGGCCCCUGCGGAGAGGCUGGACGAGGAGGGUGCCCUGAGCCAGGAGCAGCCGGUUCCCUGGGAGAGCCACGGCGUGGCCGGGCCGAAGGCGGCCGGGGCAGGACUGGGGGAGUUCUCCCUGGGGGAGUUCAAGCCGGUGGUGGUGCCGGUGGAGGCUCACCCUGCCCCGGGGCUGCCCUUCCCCAUGGAGCACGUGCUGGGCGCAGGGACGGAGCAGCCCUUCGCCCUCCCCCAGGGAAUGCCGCUGGGAGAAGACCCCGGCGCCGAGGGGGCCUCGCCGCAGCCCGGCUGGGAGAGCCGAUCCCUGCGCCGCGGACCGUCCAGGCGCGUCCCCCGAGGUGAAGAGCGUCCG